rnacentral:tRNA from 1 species
GAGGGUCUAGCUCAGUGGUAGAGCACAUGCUUAGCAUGCAUGGGGGUCUGGGUUCAAUCCCCAGGACAUCCA